rnacentral:rRNA from 1 species
UAGCAUAUCAAUAAGCGGAGGAAAAGAAACUAACAAGGAUUCCCCUAGUAACUGCGAGUGAAGCGGGAAGAGCUCAAAUUUAAAAUCUGGCGGUUCUGCCGUCCGAGUUGUAAUCUGGAGAAGCGUUUUCUGUGCUGGACCGUGCAUAAGUGUCUUGGAAUAGGACGUCAUAGAGGGUGAGAAUCCCGUCUUUGGCACGGACUACCAGUGCUCUGUGAUACGCUCUCAAAGAGUCGAGUUGUUUGGGAAUGCAGCUCAAAAUGGGUGGUAAAUUCCAUCUAAAGCUAAAUAUAGGCGAGAGACCGAUAGCGAACAAGUACCGUGAGGGAAAGAUGAAAAGCACUUUGGAAAGAGAGUUAAACAGUACGUGAAAUUGUUGAAAGGGAAACGCUUGAAGUCAGUCGCGUUGUCCAGGACUCAACCUUGGUUUUCCUUGGUGUAUUUCCUGGUUGACGGGUCAACAUCAAUUUUGAUCGGUGGACAAAGGCGGGGGGAAUGUGGCACCUUCGGGUGUGUUAUAGCCCCUUGUCAUAUACACUGGUUGGGAUUGAGGAUAUCACGCCCUCGGCGGUAGGAUGUUGACAUAAUGGCUUUAAGCGACCCGUCUUGAAACACGGACCAAGGAGUCUAACAUGCCUGCGAGUGUUAGGGUGGUAAACCCUUGCGCGUAAUGAAAGUGAAAGUUGGGACCUCUUUGAGGGCACCGACGCCCGGCCUUGAACUCUUGUGACGGUGCUGCGGUAGAGCAUGUAUGUUGGGACCCGAAAGAUGGUGAACUAUGCCUGAAUAGGGCGAAGCCAGAGGAAACUCUGGUGGAGGCUCGUAGCGAUUCUGACGUGCAAAUCGAUCGUCAAAUUUGGGUAUAGGGGCGAAAGACUAAUCGAACCAUCUAGUAGCUGGUUCUGCG